rnacentral:lncRNA from 1 species
UUACUCUGACUUUAUGAAGUUAUUUUCCUAUGCGUGAAGAACAAAUUUAGCUGAAGCAUGACUCUUCAGCAUGGCAAGGACAAAGAUUCCCUCGUAGGGAAGGAGUUGCAGUCCUCCUAGUUCUUGGUAUUCCCAGAAAGGAUCCUGGGAUGAGUGAGAUGAUCAUUAGUGUUCGCAGAGGGAAUUCUGGCCAAUAUAAUUACAAGCAGUGAAAAUUAGGUGAGAUUCAUUCACUUCUGCUAUAUUAAGUAGUGAAUUAUGGCU